GCCCGGUAGCUAAAUGCGGAAGAGAUAAGUGCUGAAAGCAUCUAAGCACGAAACUUGCCCCGAGAUGAGUUCUCCCUAACUCCUUGAGAGUCCUGAAGGAACGUUGAAGACGACGACGUUGAUAGGCCGGGUGUGUAAGCGCAGCGAUGCGUUGAGCUAACCGGUACUAAUGAACCGUGAGGCUUAACCUUACAACGCCGAAGGUGUUU
rnacentral:rRNA from 1 species